GUUUGCCUCCUCUAUGCAUCAAUGUAAGUCAAGAAAAACAGAUGCAACAGAUGGGAAGAAAAAUGCAAGAGUUUGUACCCACAAGAAGGGAGCUGAUACUUUGGGAUCUUCUCUGUGAAGGACACACAGACAACAUUAUUUGCCAUUCCAUUCUGAGUUCCUGAAGGAAUUCCUCACCUCUCAGAUCAUCAACUAUCACCCAUUUGGAUCUAUUCAACAUGUUUGCAUGAUUUUCUCCAGCUUCUUUCAGCAGUGUGUGAAAAGAGUGAAGCCAGGGAAUGGUUUUCAGGGUCAUCUGUACAUCUGAAUGUUGAGAGCCAGAAUUCUUUCAAUAAAAUGUCCUCUGAGUACUUAGCAGGGUUCAGUGUCCUGAGAAAAUUCAUAAAACCAGGAACUUCACUCGUGAGAUGUGAAAAUGGAUCUUCUCUGUGAAGUACACAUAGACACCAUUAUUUGCCAUCUCCAAUGUCAAUUUGUGAAGGAAUUCCUCACCUCUCAGAUCAUCUACUG